rnacentral:rRNA from 1 species
GAUGAACGCUGGCGGCGUGCUUAACACAUGCAAGUCGAACGAUGAAGCCCAGCUUGCUGGGUGGAUUAGUGGCGAACGGGUGAGUAACACGUGAGUAACCUGCCCUUAACUCUGGGAUAAGCCUGGGAAACUGGGUCUAAUACCGGAUAGGAGCGCCUACCGCAUGGUGGGUGUUGGAAAGAUUUAUCGGUUUUGGAUGGACUCGCGGCCUAUCAGCUUGUUGGUGAGGUAAUGGCUCACCAAGGCGACGACGGGUAGCCGGCCUGAGAGGGUGACCGGCCACACUGGGACUGAGACACGGCCCAGACUCCUACGGGAGGCAGCAGUGGGGAAUAUUGCACAAUGGGCGAAUGCCUGAUGCAGCGACGCCGCGUGAGGGAUGACGGCCUUCGGGUUGUAAACCUCUUUCAGUAGGGAAGAAGCGAAAGUGACGGUACCUGCAGAAGAAGCACCGGCUAACUACGUG